CAGAGGGAGUUUCUCAGCAGGAUUUACAGUCAAAUAGUAACAUGGUCUUGGGGGCAGGACGGCAACUGGCAAAGUUCAUGGAAUUACAGUCACUGAAUGAUCUUGGCUAUCCAAAAAGAUAUAUCCGAACUCUGCAGAUAUCUGAAGUUGUCAAGAGCAUGAAGGAUCUGAUGAAUUUCACUGGCGAGCACAAAAUCGGCCCUAUUGGUAAUAAGUCUACUAACUUUCCCGCUGGUGCAUCUUU